CGUAGGUGGUUUGUCGCGUUGUUCGUGAAAUCUCACGGCUUAACUGUGAGCGUGCGGGCGAUACGGGCAGACUUGAGUACUGCAGGGGAGACUGGAAUUCCUGGUGUAGCGGUGGAAUGCGCAGAUAUCAGGAGGAACACCGGUGGCGAAGGCGGGUCUCUGGGCAGUAACUGACGCUGAGGAGCGAAAGCGUGGGGAGCGAACAGGAUUAGAUACCCUGGUAGUCCACGCCGUAAACGGUGGGUACUAGGUGUGGGUUUCCUUCCUUGGGAUCCGUGCCGUAGCUAACGCAUUAAGUACCCCGCCUGGGGAGUACGGCCGCAAGGCUAAAACUCAAAGAAAUUGACGGGGGCCCGCACAAGCGGCGGAGCAUGUGGAUUAAUUCGAUGCAACGCGAAGAACCUUACCUGGGUUUGACAUGCACAGGACGCCGGCAGAGAUGUCGGUUCCCUUGUGGCCUGUGUGCAGGUGGUGCAUGGCUGUCGUCAGCUCGUGUCGUGAGAUGUUGGGUUAAGUCCCGCAACGAGCGCAACCCUUGUCUCAUGUUGCCAGCGGGUAAUGCCGGGGACUCGUGAGAGACUGCCGGGGUCAACUCGGAGGAAGGUGGGGAUGACGUCAAGUCAUCAUGCCCCUUAUGUCCAGGGCUUCACACAUGCUACAAUGGCCGGUACAAAGGGCUGCGAUGCCGCGAGGUUAAGCGAAUCCUUUUAAAGCCGGUCUCAGUUCGGAUCGGGGUCUGCAA
rnacentral:rRNA from 1 species